rnacentral:rRNA from 1 species
GAUGAACGCUGGCGGCGUGCCUAACACAUGCAAGUCGAGCGAACCCUUCGGGGUGAGCGGCGGACGGGUGAGUAACGCGUGGGUAACCUGCCCUAUACACACGGAUAACGUACCGAAAGGUACGCUAAUACGAGAUAACAUAUUUUUAUCGCAUGUAGAAAUAUCAAAGCUCCGGCGGUAUAGGAUGGACCCGCGUCUGAUUAGCUAGUUGGUAAGGUAAUGGCUUACCAAGGCGACGAUCAGUAGCCGACCUGAGAGGGUGAUCGGCCACAUUGGAACUGAGACACGGUCCAAACUCCUACGGGUGGCUG